AGUGAACGCUGGCGGUAGGCCUAACACAUGCAAGUCGAACGGCAGCACAGUAAGAGCUUGCUCUUACGGGUGGCGAGUGGCGGACGGGUGAGGAAUACAUCGGAAUCUACUUUUUCGUGGGGGAUAACGUAGGGAAACUUACGCUAAUACCGCAUACGACCUACUGGUGAAAGCAGGGGAUCUUCGGACCUUGCGCGACUGAAUGAGCCGAUGUCGGAUUAGCUAGUUGGCGGGGUAAAGGCCCACCAAGGCGACGAUCCGUAGAUGGUCUGAGAGGAUGAUCAGCCACACUGGAACUGAGACGCAGUCCAGACUCCUACGGGAGGCAGCAGUGGGGAAUAUUGGACAAUGGGCGCAAGCCUGAUCCAGCCAUACCGCGUGGGUGAAGAAGGCCUUCGGGUUGUAAAGCCCUUUUGUUGGGAAAGAAAAGCAGCAGGUUAAUACCCCGCUGUUCUGACGGUACCCAAAGAAUAAGCACCGGCUAACUUCGUG
rnacentral:rRNA from 1 species